CUGGAGAAAUCUCUUUGUGGUUACGAUUCAGCAAAUGUUGAGGAACGUACCUCUCACCAAAAUUAUUAGACCUGAAACUGGCUUGCUACUCAGCAGGAAGAAGGAAAAACAGGCAGCUGAAGUAUGCUGGAAACAGUAUCCGCUUGGGAUUCCAGGAAAAAUCAAGUGAAGCAUAAAUAGUAGUCUGCAAACAAAUCAGGCAUAUUAAGGGUCAUGCAAUGCAUCAAACUAGAAAAAGGAUUCCCCCAAAACAAGCGUGAUUUUGAAGUGGAAAACUUCCUGCAGGAAAUGGGAAGGCACCUGAGCGUUUUGCAGACCCGAGAUUGCACCCAAAUGCCUUUGCAAGGAUCCAGCCAAAAAGAAUUUCCUUCUGUCCUUUCCAGUGAGACUUCAGAAGUUGUGUUUCCAUUGAAGCCAAAAUCCUAUUGGACGUCAGGAGAGAGAAA